rnacentral:rRNA from 1 species
UAGGGAAUCUUCCGCAAUGGGCGAAAGCUUGACGGAGCAACGCCGCGUGAGUGAUGAAGGUCUUCGGAUCGUAAAACUCUGUUAUUAGGGAAGAACAAAUGUGUAAGUAACUAUGCACGUCUUGACGGUACCUAAUCAGAAAGCCACGGCUAACUACGUGCCAGCAGCCGCGGUAAUACGUAGGUGGCAAGCGUUAUCCGGAAUUAUUGGGCGUAAAGCGCGCGUAGGCGGUUUUUUAAGUCUGAUGUGAAAGCCCACGGCCCAACCGUGGAGGGUCAUUGGAAACUGGAAAACUUGAGUGCAGAAGAGGAAAGUGGAGUUCCAUGUGUAGCGGUGAAAUGCGCAGAGAUAUGGAGGAACACCAGUGGCGAAGGCGACUUUCUGGUCUGUAACUGACGCUGAUGUGCGAAAGCGUGGGGAUCAAACAGG